rnacentral:rRNA from 1 species
GACGAACGCUGGCGGCAUGCCUAACACAUGCAAGUCGAGCGAGUAGAUCCCUUCGGGGUGAAGCUAGCGGCGGACGGGUGAGUAACACGUGGGCAACCUGCCUCAUAGAGGGGAAUAGCCUUCCGAAAGGAAGAUUAAUACCGCAUAAGGUUGUAGUACCGCAUGGUAUAGCAAUUAAAGGAGCAAUCCGCUAUGAGAUGGGCCCGCGGCGCAUUAGCUAGUUGGUGAGGUAACGGCUCACCAAGGCGACGAUGCGUAGCCGACCUGAGAGGGUGAUCGGCCACACUGGGACUGAGACACGGCCCAGACUCCUACGGGAGGCAGCAGUGGGGAAUAUUGCACAAUGGGGGAAACCCUGAUGCAGCAAUGCCGCGUGAGUGAUGACGGCCUUCGGGUUGUAAAGCUCUGUCUUCGGGGACGAUAAUGACGGUACCCGAGGAGGAAGCCACGGCUAACUACGUGCCAGCCGCCGCCGUAA